UACGUAGGGGGCAAGCGUUGUCCGGAAUCAUUGGGCGUAAAGAGCGUGUAGGCGGCCCGGUAAGUCCGCCGUGAAAGUCCAGGGCUCAACCCUGGAAUGCCGGUGGAAACUGCCGGGCUGGAGUCCGGAAGAGGCGAGUGGAAUUCCUGGUGUAGCGGUGAAAUGCGCAGAUAUCAGGAGGAACACCGAUGGCGAAGGCAGGUCUCUGGGCCAUAACUGACGCUGAGAAGCGAAAGCAUGGGGAGCGAACAGG
rnacentral:rRNA from 1 species